AACGCACAUUGCGCCCCUUGGUAUUCCAUGGGGCAUGCCUGUUCGAGCGUCAUUUGUACCUUCAAGCUCUGCUUGGUGUUGGGUGUUUGUCCCGCCGCGUGCGUGGACUCGCCUUAAAGCAAUUGGCAGCCGGCAUACGGGUCGAAGAGCGCAGCACAAUUUGCGCGCUUCCCCCGUGCGUUGGCAUCCAUCAAGCCCAUUUUCACGCUUGACCUCGGAUCAGGUAGGGAUACCCGCUGAACUUAA
rnacentral:misc_RNA from 1 species